GGAAAGAACGGCAAAAAGGAGAUGGAGGAUAAAGAAGUUGUCAAAGAGUUCUUGUGUUACAAGUGCCAAUUGAAGAUAAAAUAUGAUUAUUUUGGAACAAAACCUCCAUUUGCUAAGUCAUUCAUGUAAGUAAGUUUACUAGAGGACACCUAUGUUAUGAAAGAUCCAUUUUCAACUGAACUGGGUAUGAUUAGUCAAGGAUCUCACUGCAGCCAGUGUCAGAAGUCUGUCUGCUCUUCUGGGGAGUGCAGUAUUUUCUACACUA